UCGCUGGUGGCUCAGACGGUAAAGCAUCUGCCUGCAAUGCAGGGGACCCGGGUUCGAUCCCUGCUUGGGAA
rnacentral:tRNA from 1 species